GCAGUCAUGGCCUAAUGGUUAGAGAGUUUCACCUUGUAACCCAAAGGUGAACCUGAAGGUUGUGGGUUCAAAUCUCAGGUGCUGCA